UACAAGCUCACAGAGACCAAAGCAGCACGUAUUGGGCCUACAAGGGUCUGCACUAUGUCCUCUAUGUAUAAAUUGUAGUGCUCAUCUUGGUAUUCCUAUGGGACUCUGAGCAUGAGAAGGAGUGAAUGUCUCUGACUCUUGUGCCUACUCUUGGGACUCUUUUCUCCCUGUUGGGUUGCUGUGUCUACCUUCAUGAUAGUUUUGCUUCGUCUGACUAUUAUUUUUUAUUCAGCCAUGUAGGUUGUUAUCUCUUAGGAGCCUGUUCUUUCCUAACAAGAGACAGAAAAGGAGUGGAUACAGAGGGGAGGGGCCCUGGGCAGGAACUGGGACAAGUAAAGGAAGGGAAAGUGUAAUCAGGAUAUAUUGUUUGAGAGAAGAACCCAUUCUCAAUAAGGGAAGAGCAUUCAGAGUAGCUUAUGAUCAGUAUAGUCGGGACCUGAAGUCACAUUUGGUGUUUUUAUUUCAUAAAUAUUAUUUGUUUUAUUUCGGAUUUUUUUUAAAAGAUUGCAGUUUCACCAAUCAUUAGCAAUAGUCAUAUAACAUAAGCUAUGCAAGGGAUGUCAUCCAUGCCACAUAGAAAGCUCCCUUAGUUGUCAGCGGAUGGGAUUCUGGCUCUUGGGAGCUCUAGAUACACUUCAAUAAAGCUUCCAUGAACAUAGUGUUUCGUCCCCUGAAAUGUCUCUGUUGUUUCCCUUACUCAAGCCGCACCAUGGGAGAAAGCUUCUCCCGUCCAAACGCAGCUCCAGACACACAACAUGCUAGUUAGGGUCUGUGAAAACAAUCAACACGCAUCCUUCCUCCUAGGACCACACAGAACAAGGCAAUGGUUUUAGCGAGUAAUGGCAAAUCCUUAGAAAUUUCCAGUAAUUUAAAAAU
rnacentral:lncRNA from 1 species